CAUCAUGUCUGACGAUUGUUUCUCGUUUGCUGCUACUGAAACGGAUCUCAUCUCGUGUCAGUUGUAGCCGAGAUGUUUCUAUCGACAUGUUCCAUAUGAUUAUUUGAUCUUAAGCUACAAAACUGUAACAAUGCCUACUGCCUGGUACAUUAAUUGUACUGUUGCAAGUAUGUUGUUCAUUCUUUCUGAAUAAAAAUCCCACCCACUUACCAAAAAAACGUGACCUUUCUGAGCCGUGUCAUGGCCCACCCACAACCAAGAUACCACAAAAUACAGUACAUCAUCGGUAGGUGAUAUAGAUCCACCAAACGUACCUGAACGAAAGAUGGGUUAUUUCACCGAAUAGACCGAAACACAACAUGAAACAGAGAUGACUUGAACUUGGCACCUCUUCUUUCUUUAUGUGUGUACUUGCGUACAGGAAGCGGGUGGUGCCGACCCUUAAAAAGUCUUGCCAAGU
rnacentral:lncRNA from 1 species